GUGGGGAAUCUUGCGCAAUGGGCGAAAGCCUGACGCAGCCAUGCCGCGUGAAUGAUGAAGGUCUUAGGAUUGUAAAAUUCUUUCACCGGGGACGAUAAUGACGGUACCCGGAGAAGAAGCUCCGGCUAACUUCGUGCCAGCAGCCGCGGUAAUACGAAGGGGGCUAGCGUUGCUCGGAAUUACUGGGCGUAAAGGGCGCGUAGGCGGACAGCUUAGUCAGAGGUGAAAGCCCAGGGCUCAACCUUGGAAUUGCCUUUGAUACUGGCUGUCUUGAGUUUGGGAGAGGUGGGUGGAACUCCGAGUGUAGAGGUGAAAUUCGUAGAUAUUCGGAAGAACACCAGUGGCGAAGGCGACUCACUGGCCCAAUACUGACGCUGAGGCGCGAAAGCGUGGGGAGCAAACAGGAUUAGAAACCCCUGUAGUCC
rnacentral:rRNA from 1 species